CACCAUUGUGUAGCAGUACCAGCGGAGUCCUCAACAUUUAAUAGCGGAGCUCCUUUUUACACUAAUUUUCCAUGUUACUCUCUCUUUUCUUUUCUUUUUUGUAACUUCAAAAACUGAAUGAGUUCAAGUCAGCAAUUUAUGACAUGGCUCAUUGAUUUUUCCAAAAUUAAAAGUAAGGUCACCGAAGUAGAAUAUUGGUAGUAAAUAGUAAUAUUUAAUUAAGCCUUCAUUCUGUGUAUAUUCCCAUACACACACAAGUGAGUGAGAGUGUGCGUGCAUGUGUAUGUUUGUCCAUAAUAUAUAUAUAUAUAUAUAUAUAUAUAUAUAUAUAUAUAUAUAGUGGAGUGAUCUAUAGCCACUAUAGGCCAUUUUUUAGCUAACCCAUCCAUUGUCAUCCAUGAAGUUCAAGGAUAUUAAUCUGUCCACCAUUGUGUAGCAGUACCAGCGGAGUCCUCAACAUUAAAUAGCGGAGCUCCUUUUUACACUAAUUUUCCAUGUUACUCUCUCUUUUCUUUUCUUUUUUGUAACUUCAAAAACUGAAUGAGUUCAAGUCAGCAAUUUAUGACAUGGCUCAUUGAUUUUUCCAAAAUUAAAAGUAAGGUCACCGAAGUAGAAUAUUGGUAGUAAAUAGUAAUAUUUAAUUAAGCCUUCAUUCUGUGUAUAUUCCCAUACACACACAAGUGAGUGAGAGUGUGCGUGCAUGUGUAUGUUUGUC
rnacentral:lncRNA from 1 species